AGGGCCCAAGCAAGCCAGGAAGGAGGAGGCAGCCAGAGUGUUCUCUGCAGCAGAAGACCCCUUGCUGCCCUGCUUAACCCAGACCAGCAUUUGCCAGUUAGAGGAAAAGAAAUCCCACAAGGCACGAUUACCCUGCCAAGAAAGUCUUGUAGAGGCACAUUACAGAAGAGGCCAGAAGAGUUAAACAAAGUCAAGAUCAAGGCAUAUCUGAAGAAAUAACAAACAGUUAUGAAACAGAUUAAUAUCCGGAAAGUCUGUAAUAUGGUAUAUUAUUUGGCGUAUUGCACAUGGACUUGCUCCUGAAAGCAUAUGAUUACAUUACGCAUAUUGUCUCCUCUUGGAAUGGAUGGAGAAGAUGUAUUACCACAUUAUCAUAUUAUGAAGAGGAACAUCCUCCCCACUGGAUUCCACGGGACAUGUAUCUCUACUGUGGACUAACAGCUCUACAGGACAAGAACUGGUUAUUCCUAUAUGUGAAGCUGUACUAUAUAUCUGGGGGAAGACUCCUUGUUACAUUUUGAUGUACUUUGUUAUGUUCAGUGUGCAAGCCACUAUGGCUCCGAUAUGUCUACCAGAUAAAUUAAUUGUGGGAGUUAAGUUGAUGGUUUGAGUACUCCUUUUUCUACUG